UGGGGUGUAGCUCAGAAGUAGAGCUUAUCUAACUAACAUGCCCAGGGCCCUGGGUUCUAUCCCCAGUGCCUCAA
rnacentral:tRNA from 1 species